rnacentral:rRNA from 1 species
GGUCCAAGCGUUAAUCGGAAUUACUGGGCGUAAAGCGUGCGCAGGCGGUUGUGCAAGACCGAUGUGAAAUCCCCGAGCUUAACUUGGGAAUUGCAUUGGUGACUGCACGGCUAGAGUGUGUCAGAGGGGGGUAGAAUUCCACGUGUAGCAGUGAAAUGCGUAGAGAUGUGGAGGAAUACCGAUGGCGAAGGCAGCCCCCUGGGAUAACACUGACGCUCAUGCACGAAAGCGUGGGGAGCAAACAGGAUUAGAUACCCUGGUAGUCCACGCCCUAAACGAUGUCAACUAGUUGUUGGGGAUUCAUUUCCUUAGUAACGUAGCUAACGCGUGAAGUUGACCGCCUGGGGAGUACGGUCGCAAGAUUAAAACUCAAAGGAAUUGACGGGGACCCGCACAAGCGGUGGAUGAUGUUGGAUUAAUUCGAUGCAACGCGAAAAACCUUACCUACCCUUGACAUGCCACUAACGAAGCAGAGAUGC